GAUUUUACCUGAAUAUCCUGAGGGCACCAGAUCCUGUCUGAUCUUGGAAACUAAGCAAGAUCAGUCCUGGUUAUUACUUGGAUGAGAGACUGCCAAUGAAUACCAGGUGCUGAAGGCU
rnacentral:rRNA from 1 species